rnacentral:rRNA from 1 species
AUUGAACGCUGGCGGCAUGCCUUACACAUGCAAGUCGAACGGCAGCGCGUCCUUCGGGAUGGCGGCGAGUGGCGAACGGGUGAGUAAUACGAUCGGAACGUGCCCGAGAUGGGGGAUAACGCAAGCGAAAGCUGUGCUAAUACCGCAUACGAUCUCAGGAUGAAAGCAGGGGACCGCAAGGCCUUGCGCUCACGGAGCGGCCGAUGGCAGAUUAGGUAGUUGGUGGGAUAAAAGCUUACCAAGCCGACGAUCUGUAGCUGGUCUGAGAGGACGACCAGCCACACUGGGACUGAGACACGGCCCAGACUCCUACGGGAGGCAGCAGUGGGGAAUUUUGGACAAUGGGGGGAAACCCUGAUCCAGCCAUGCCGCGUGCAGGAUGAAGGCCUUCGGGUUGUAAACUCCUGUCAGAAGGGACGAUAAUGACGGUACCUGAGGAGGAAGCCACGGCUAACUACGUG